rnacentral:rRNA from 1 species
CUGAAUGUGCCCGAUCCCAUCUGAUCUUGAAAGCUAAGCAG